rnacentral:rRNA from 1 species
GUGCCAGCAGCCGCGGUAACUACGUAGGUGGCAAGCGUUGUCCGGAAUUACUGGGCGUAAAGCGCUCGCAGGCGGUUCUUUAAGUCUGAUGUGAAAUCUUACGGCUCAACCGUAAACGUGCAUUGGAAACUGGGGAACUUGAGUGCAGAAGAGGAGAGUGGAAUUCCACGUGUAGCGGUGAAAUGCGUAGAGAUGUGGAGGAACACCAGUGGCGAAGGCGACUCUCUGGUCUGUAACUGACGCUGAGGAGCGAAAGCGUGGGGAGCGAACAGGAUUAGAUACCCUGGUAGUCC